UACGAAGGGGGCUAGCGUUGUUCGGAAUUACUGGGCGUAAAGCGCACGUAGGCGGAUCAGUCAGUUAGAGGUGAAAGCCCAGGGCUCAACCCUGGAACUGCCUUUAAUACUGCUGGUCUGGAGUCCGAGAGAGGUGAGUGGAAUUCCGAGUGUAGAGGUGAAAUUCGUAGAUAUUCGGAGGAACACCAGUGGCGAAGGCGGCUCACUGACUCGGUACUGACGCUGAGGUGCGAAAGCGUGGGGAGCAAACAGG
rnacentral:rRNA from 1 species